CCUUCCUGAGAAGAUGAUCUAUCAGCUGCCUCAGUCUGCCAGCUCCAAAGAUACAACUUCCCCUCCCCCAUUCUGAGGGGGCCAGAAAAGAGAAGAGGUAGUUUCAGUAGUUCAGUUGCAGUUACAUUUCAAGUGGAAUAACUGACUUGAACAAUGCAUUGUUCUGAAAGAAGCAUUUACUCACUCAACACAAGCUCUGUGGUGUUUUGUCUUCAACCAACAGUAUCCGGAUUUUAAGCACGAACAUGUGGUGGUUGAAGAACUGCUGCAGUUUCUCAUUGGUGAAGUUGAUGCACAGCUGCUCCAGGCUGUUGAACUGCUCAGUGCAAAGAUCUCGAAGCCAGCAAUGUCCAGGACACCAAUGAAGUACUGUCUGGGCUGCUUCGUAUCAAGCUGCUGGUUGAUGCGAACAACCAUCCAUAAGAACAUCUUCUCAUAGACAGCUUUUGCUAGAGCACCCACUGCAUUGUUCACCUAGAAGAAAGAAGAAUGCAGCAGAAGAGGAGCAUCUAGAGUAAGAUAGUAA